GAUGAACGCUGGCGGCGUGCUUAACACAUGCAAGUCGAACGAAGCACUUUAACUUGAUUUCUUCGGAUUGAUUGUUAUUGUGACUGAGUGGCGGACGGGUGAGUAACGCGUGGGUAACCUGCCUCAUACAGGGGGACAACAGUUGGAAACGACUGCUAAUACCGCAUAAGCGCACGGUAUCGCAUGGUACAGUGUGAAAAAACUCCGGUGGUAUGAGAUGGACCCGCGUCUGAUUAGCCAGUUGGUGGGGUAACGGCCCACCAAGGCGACCGAUCGGUAGCCGGACUGAGAGGUUGAACGGCCACAUUGGGACUGAGACA
rnacentral:rRNA from 1 species